rnacentral:rRNA from 1 species
CGUAACAAGGUUUCCGUAGGUGAACCUGCGGAAGGAUCAUUACCGAGUGAGGGCCCUUUGGGUCCAACCUCCCCACCCGGUUUUAUUUACCUCGUUGCUUCGGCGGGCCCGCCUUAACUGGCCGCCGGGGGGCUCACGCCCCCGGGCCCGCGCCCGCCGAAGACACCCCCGAACUCUGCCUGAAGAUUGUCGUCUGAGUGAAAAUAUAAAUUAUUUAAAACUUUCAACAACGGAUCUCUUGGUUCCGGCAUCGAUGAAGAACGCAGCGAAAUGCGAUACGUAAUGUGAAUUGCAAAUUCAGUGAAUCAUCGAGUCUUUGAACGCACAUUGCGCCCCCUGGUAUUCCGGGGGGCAUGCCUGUCCGAGCGUCAUUGCUGCCCUCAAGCCCGGCUUGUGUGUUGGGCCCCGUCCUCCGAUUCCGGGGGACGGGCCCGAAAGGCAGCGGCGGCACCGCGUCCGGUCCUCGAGCGUAUGGGGCUUUGUCACCCGCUCUGUAGGCCCGGCCGGCGCUUGCCGAUCAACCCAAAUUUUUAUCCAGGUUGACCUCGGAUCAGGUAGGGAUACCCGCUGAACUUAAGCAUAUCAAUAAGCGGAGGAAAAGAAACCAACAGGGAUUGCCCCAGUAACGGCGAGUGAAGCGGCAAGAGCUCAAAUUUGAAAGCUGGCUCCUUCGGGGUCCGCAUUGUAAUUUGCAGAGGAUGCUUCGGGAGCGGUCCCCAUCUAAGUGCCCUGGAACGGGACGUCAUAGAGGGUGAGAAUCCCGUAUGGGAUGGGGUGUCCGCGCCCGUGUGAAGCUCCUUCGACGAGUCGAGUUGUUUGGGAAUGCAGCUCUAAAUGGGUGGUAAAUUUCAUCUAAAGCUAAAUAUUGGCCGGAGACCGAUAGCGCACAAGUAGAGUGAUCGAAAGAUGAAAAGCACUUUGAAAAGAGAGUUAAAAAGCACGUGAAAUUGUUGAAAGGGAAGCGCUUGCGACCAGACUCGCUCGCGGGGUUCAGCCGGCAUUCGUGCCGGUGUAUUUCCCCGCGGGCGGGCCAGCGUCGGUUUGGGCGGUCGGUCAAAGGCCCUCGGAAGGUAACGCCCCUAGGGGCGUCUUAUAGCCGAGGGUGCAAUGCGACCUGCCUAGACCGAGGAACGCGCUUCGGCUCGGACGCUGGCAUAAUGGUCGUAAGCGA